GAGGUGGGGAAGGAAUUUUGACACCGGUUCUUUCUGAAUGAGGCACCCCUGGCUUCUGGAUGGGAGUGGAGAUCAGCUCAGAGACUGGGAGUACGUGGGCCAGUGGGUCACUGACCUUGCCUUGGCUGCUGUCAAGACCACUGAGGAUGGCACAGUUCAGAAACCAACAUGCUGGAAGCCAGCGAGCAUUGACCAGGAUUCCUCUCCGACAAGACCAAGGCCCCCGGUGACUUAGGUCACUUUCCAAGAGAAGUGUGAGGAAGAGAGUCAAGAAGUGAUUAUUGUCCCCAGGAACGACUGGGUUGGAAGAGAUGGAAGAUUGGCAAAAACCAUAGAAAAUGGCGACUGAAAAGUUGUGUGCUGAUCGAUGGAAAAAAGGAAAGGGCAACAAGUGGAGGAGAGUCAAGACUGCAAUGAGAAUAAAAGAAACGGGGAAAUAGAAACACACGACAACAAUGCCUAAGAGAGCGACAGAGGAAACAUUGAGAAGAAAACAGAUAAGGGAGAAAUACUGCACAGAGAAUGCUACACCAGAAAUUAGCAAGAUCCGUGGAGGCAGGAAGAAAAUAAAGAAGAAAGAUAGAGGUUAUAUGGUCCCAUGUAACAGGAGCCCCCGAUUUCUAUGCUUCCUGGGAUUGUGUUAGAGGUAGGGAGCUAUUCCAUGGCUCCAUAAUUCCCCUCGAGAAACAAGGCAUUUCAAAGUUUCCCAAACCUAGUGUGUACUGGACUGUGAGAGCUAGUUGUUAAAUUUUCAGGAAUUCCGUGAGCUAGCUGUUAAACUGGUUAUUUUAAAAAAAAUAAUAACACUAUAUAAGCUUAAAAUUAAAUAAAUUAUAUUAAAAACACAUAAUAGAUACUAAAAACUCAUCAGGUUCUAAUUAUUUUGGAAUAUUUUACUAUCGAUGUAUCUGCAUCUAUCGUGUGGAAAUAUUAUGCAACGGUGUGUUACUACAUAUCCUUUCGUAACACUGCCUUCAAGUGACUUCAUAUUGGAGGAUUGAAAUCAGCCACAGUGGGAGUAUCUACACCAUAGAGAUCAGCAAUUACUACAAAUUGAGGCUUAACAUAUUGUUUUAUUGAUUGUCUAGAUGUAACAACAUGGUGGAGAAAAUAAUACUGUAGAUUAAACUUAAAAGUGUAUUGUGUCCGUAGCUGUUACAUUGUGUGUAACCCAAGAAAUUGAGGAAAUAGUCUUCCAAUAUUCAAAAACUAUUAUCCAAUUCAUCAAAAAAACGGCUUACAUCAUUGACGAAUGAGUGAUGUUCCAGCAUGUCUUUGUUAUUUCAUUUUUGUCUUAGUCAUGAAAAUAUCAACCAACAUUCAUCUCAGAACUAUACUUGUUCAUCAAUUGCAACUGUUACUGGCUGCGGAUAUAAGAGUUUGCACAAGUCAGUUGAAAUCAUUCUAUAAAAAUCAAUAACCUAUGUGGAAUUUAAAAUAAAAAGUGUCAUAUAUUUAUUAUUUGUAAAUUCCGUGACUCACAUCCUUUGUAUCAGUAAAGUUUAAUAAACUUACAUAAAAUAUUCACAUACAGAAUCUUUUGUACUUGUUGGAGAGCCAGUUGUUAAUCAUUUAUCAGCACACCCCUGGGUGGUUUGGUCACUAACCACUGCCUCACGUGGCAAUGAU
rnacentral:lncRNA from 1 species